AACGAACGCUGGCGGCGUGCCUAACACAUGCAAGUCGAGCGGGAAAGUUCCCUUCGGGGAGCGAGUACAGCGGCGCACGGGUGAGUAACACGUAGGCAACCUACCUUGGAGACUGGGAUAACUUGCCGAAAGGCGGGCUAAUACCAGAUAAGACCACAGGGGCUGCGGCUCUUGGGGUAAAAGAUGGCCUCUGCUUGCAAGCUAUCACUCCGGGAUGGGCCUGCGCGCCAUUAGCUAGUUGGUGAGGUAACGGCUCACCAAGGCCGAGAU
rnacentral:rRNA from 1 species